rnacentral:rRNA from 1 species
AACGCUGGCGGCGUGCUUAACACAUGCAAGUCGAACGAGGAUAUGCCAGAGGAGAGCUUCGGCAGGAAUCAGGUAUAUUCGAGUGGCGGACGGGUGAGUAACGCGUGAGCAACCUGUCCCAGACAGGGGGAUAACACUUGGAAACAGGUGCUAAUACCGCAUAAGACCACGGUAUCACAUGGUAGUGGGGUAAAAGGAGCAAUCCGGUUUGGGGUGGGCUCGCGUCCGAUUAGAUAGUUGGUGAGGUAACGGCCCACCAAGUCGACGAUCGGUAGCCGACCUGAGAGGGUGAUCGGCCACAUUGGAACUGAGAGACGGUCCAAACUCCUACGGGAGGCAGCAGUGGGGAAUAUUGGGCAAUGGGCGAAAGCCUGAACCCCAGCAACGCCGCGUGAGUGAAGAAGGCCUUCGGGUUGUAAAGCUCUGUUAUAGUUGACGAAGGAAGUGACGGUAGGCUAUAAGGAAGCCCCGGCUAACUACGUGCCAGCAGCAGC